rnacentral:rRNA from 1 species
AGCGAACGCUGGCGGCAGGCCUAACACAUGCAAGUCGAACGAACCUUUCGGGGUUAGUGGCGGACGGGUGAGUAACACGUGGGAACGUUCCUUUAGGUUCGGAAUAACUCAGGGAAACUUGUGCUAAUACCGAAUGUGCCCUUCGGGGGAAAGAUUUAUCGCCUUUAGAGCGGCCGCGGCUGAUUAGCUAGUUGGUUUAGGUAAUGGGUCACCAAGGGGAGGAUCAGUAGGUGGGUUGAGAGGAUGAUCAGCCACAUUGGGACUGAGACACGGCCCAAACUCCUACGGGAGGCAGCAGUGGGGAAUCUUGCGCAAUGGGCGAAAGCCUGACGCAGCCAUGCCGCGUGAAUGAUGAAGGUCUUAGGAUUGUAAAAUUCUUUCACCGGGGACGAUAAUGACGGUACCCGGAGAAGAAGCCCCGGCUAACUUCGUG